rnacentral:rRNA from 1 species
CAGCCGCCACGGGAAUACGUAGGGGGCAAGCGUUAUCCGGAAUUACUGGGUGUAAAGGGAGCGUAGACGGUUAAACAAGUCUGAAGUGAAAUGCCGGGGCUCAACCCCGGAGCUGCUUUGGGAACUGUAGAACUGGAGUGUCGGAGGGGUAAGCAGAAUUCCCAGUGUAGCGGUGAAAUGCGUAGAUAUUGGGAGGAACACCGGCGGCGAAGGCGGCUUACUGGACGACAACUGACGUUGAGGCUCGAAGGCGUGGGUAGCAACAGGAUUAGAUACCCCUGUAGUCCCUGUCUCUUAUACA